rnacentral:rRNA from 1 species
GAAUGAGGCUAGCGGCAGGCUAACAAAUGCAAGUCGAGGGAGAGGUUAUCUUGGGGUAACCGAAAGCCGGUGUCGGGUGCGUAACGCGUAUCCAAUCUGCCUUUCACAUAGAAUAGCCCGAAGAAAUUUGGAUUAAUCCCUAAUGGUAUAUAAGAGCGGCAUCGUUUUUAUAUAGAGCUACGGUUGGUGAAAGAUGAGUAUGCGUUCUAUUAGCUAGUUGGAGAGGUAACGGCUCCCCAAGGCGACGAUAGAUAGGGGUUCUGAGAGGGAUGUCCCCCACACUGGUACUGAGAUACGGCCCAGACUCCUACGGGAGGCAGCAGUGAGGAAUAUUGGACAAUGGUCGGAAGACGGAUAUAGCCUUGCCGCGUGCAGGAUGAAGGUCCUAUGGAUUGUAAACUGCUUUUGUAAGGGAAGAAUAAGGAGUACGUGUACUUUGAUGACGGUACCUUACGAAUAAGCAUCGGCUAACUCCGUGCCAGCGGCCGCGGUAAUACGGAGGAUGCGAGCGUUAUCCGGAAUCAUUGGGUUUAAAGGGUCCGUAGGCGGGCUGAUAAGUCAGAGGUGAAAGCGCUUAGCUCAACUAAGCAACUGCCUUUGAAACUGUCAGUCUUGAAUGAUUGUGAAGUAGUUGGAAUGUGUAGUGUAGCGGUGAAAUGCUUAGAUAUUACACAGAACACCGAUAGCGAAGGCAUAUUACUAACAAUUUAUUGACGCUGAUGGACGAAAGCGUGGGGAGCGAACAGG